rnacentral:rRNA from 1 species
GCUAAAAUUCUAGCCUUUAGAUAAUAAUUUACAUCUAACGACAAACUAAAAUAUUUUUUUACCCCAGUAAAGACGAUUAAAAAUUUACCUAGAGCUAUAUAAAAGUACCGCAAGGGAAAGAUGAAAUAUAAUGAAACAUAAUAAAGCAUAAAAAAGUAAAGACUCCCACUUGUACCUUUUGCAUCAUGGUUUAACUAGUUUUUCACAAGCAAAAAGACUUUUAGUUUGACCCCCCGAAACUAAGUGAGCUACUUCAAGGCAGCACACAGAGCAAACCCGUCCCUGUCGCAAAAGGGUGGGAAGACCUAGUAGUAGAGGUGAUACACCUAACGAACUUAGUGAUAGCUGGUUACUCAAGAAAAGAAUUUUAGUCCAACCUAAAGUUACCCUCCUUCACCCCAAAAAUCCACUUUAGAGUAAUUCAAAUAAGGAACAGCUUAUUUGAAAUAGGAUACAACCUCAUACAAUGGUUAACUAAUAUUAUAUUAAACCAAGUAGGCCUAAAAGCAGCCACCUUAAAAGAACGUCAAAGCCUAAUUUUAAUUACACUUAAUCUCAUAACUUUUACAGAAUCCUUAAUCAAUAUUGAGUAAUUCUAUACCCUUUAUAGAAAUUUUUAUGUUAAAACUAGUAACAAGAAGACCCUUCUCUUUUAAUGCAAACGUAAAUCAAACCGGAUAACCCACUGAUAUUUAUACAAAACAACAGUAAAUUUCAUCUAUGAAAAACCUGUCUUUCCUAUUGUUAACCUAACACAAGAGCAUUCCAAGAAAGAUAAAAAGAAAAAGAAGGAACUCGGCAAAUACUGAUCCCGCCUGUUUACCAAAAACAUCGCCUCUUGAAGAAUGAUAAGAGGUCAAGCCUGCCCAGUGACACCAGUUCAACGGCCGCGGUACCCUGACCGUGCAAAGGUAGCGUAAUCACUUGUUUUUUAAAUAAAGACUAGUAUGAAAGGCACCACGAGAAUCUAACUGUCUCCUUUUUCUAAUCUGUGAAACUAAUCUCCUCGUGAAAAAGCGAGAAUCAUUGUAUAAGACGAGAAGACCCUAUGGAGCUUUAGACAAAAUAGUAAAUGUUACAUCUCCCUACAAUUUUUAGAAAAUUUAUUACUAAACACUUUACUCCUUAGUCUUAGGUUGGGGCGACCAUGGAGUAAAAUAUACCCUCCACGCUGAAUAGAAACCUCUUAAACAAAGAGCUACAGCUCUAUGUAUCAAAAAAUUGACAACACUUGACCCAAUAUUUGAUCAACGAAACAAGUUACCCUAGGGAUAACAGCGCAAUCCACUUUGAAAGCCCUUAUCAACAAGUGGGUUUACGACCUCGAUGUUGGAUCAGGGUAUCCCAGUGGUGUAACCGCUACUAAAGGUUUGUUUGUUCAACAAUUAAAACCCUACGUGAUCUGAGU